UCUGCCCAUUUGCAAGCUGCUAGGAUCUAAUCUAAUCCUUCUAAUAACAGCCAAGAUUGCAAGAUCAGCACUGUGUCCGUCAGAUGUCUUCUUGAGCAGCUGGGCUGAUUAAUAAGAUUGGUGUUCUGAUCAAGCUCUUCGUCCAUAGCUUUAUAUUGUUGUUUCAGCUGACUUUAUACAUGUAUGUAUUCUACUCACCAUAACUAACCAUUGCUGUUUCUUGCAAAGCAUACCUGUUUGUCAGUUGCCACAUUUCCUUUUUAUUAAGGCUGUUUUAUUGGUACAGGUAUUUGGGUUAUGUUCUUGGUUCUUGGCUCUUCUUGCUCAUGAAUCUAGCCCUCUAUCAUGCCCCAUCCUUUUUCAUUUUUUUUCCUGAUAUUCAACAUGUCAGUAAUGGGAGCAUCAUGGAAAGAUACAAAUAUCUAUAUCUCGAUCAUCAUUUCUUUAAGAUAAUGG
rnacentral:lncRNA from 1 species